rnacentral:rRNA from 1 species
CUACGGUAUGCAGCAGUGAGGAAUAUUGCACAAUGGGCGAAAGCCUGAUGCAGCGACGCCGCGUGGGUGAAGAAGGUCUUCGGAUCGUAAAACCCUUUUCUGCGUGACGAGGAAGGACGGUAGCGCAGGAAUAAGUCUCGGCUAACUACGUGCCAGCAGCCGCGGUAAAACGUAGGAGACGAACGUUAUCCGGAGUUACUGGGCGUAAAGGGCGUGCAGGCGGUCUGAUAAGUUUGGCGUGAAAUCCUUCGGCUUAACCGGGGGGUGUCGUCAGAUACUGUGAGACUAGAGGGCGGUAGAGGCGUGUGGAAUUCCGGGUGUAGUGGUGAAAUGCGUAGAUAUCCGGAGGAACACCAGUGGCGAAGGCGACACGCUGGGCCGCACCUGACGCUAAGACGCGACAGCAUGGGGAGCGAACGGGAUUAGAUACCCUUGUAGUCC